rnacentral:rRNA from 1 species
CAUGUCUUGAUGGAAUUAUUAAUAUUAAGUCUAGCCUGCUCAAUGAUUUUAAAUUAAAUAGCCGCAGUAUUUUGACUGUGCGAAGGUAGCAUAAUCAUUUGUCUUUUAAUUGAAGGCUUGUAUGAAUGGUUGGAUGAGGGAAUAACUUUAUUUAUACUGUAAUAUUGAAUUUAAUUUUUUGGUUAAAAAGCUAAAAUUUUUAAAUGGGACGAGAAGACCCUAUAGAAUUUUAUUUUUCUUAUAAUUGUUUUAUAAUGGUAAUAGAAUGAAAUAAUUAUAAUUUAAAUUUUGUUGGGGUGACAGUGAGGUUUAUAUAACCCUCAUAUAUUUUAUUUUAUUUAUUUGUAUAUAUAUUGAUCCUUUAUUAGAGAUUAUUAGAUUAAAUUACCUUAGGGAUAACAGCGUAAUUUUUCUGGAGAGUUCUUAUCGAUGGAGAAGUUUGCGACCUCGAUGUUGGAUUAAAAUUAGAGUUAAGUGCAGAAGCUUAAUUUCUAGGUCUGUUCGA